rnacentral:tRNA from 1 species
AAGGGAGACCUAAUUCCGGUAGGAGACGAAAAAAAAGUAGUCCCUACCAAGAAUCAAUCCCAAAAGGUCGAAGCGAGGCAAGAUUGGCUUUCAAACUAGGUUCUGGGUUCAAACAUGACCUGAAUCAGGAACAAGGGCUAUUAGCUCAGGUGGUUAGAGCGCACCCCUGAUAAGGGUGAGGUCCCUGGUUCGAGUCCAGGAUGGCCCACCUGCACAGGUGGCAAAAACAAAGAAGCGAGGAAUCAGCACCUUAUCUUACUCAUAUAGUAAGAGAGAAUGCUGGCUCUGAGUAAAGAGUCCAGAGGAACCUUGAAAACUGCAUAGAGCUAGGUGAAAAAGCCAAAAAAGAAGACCGCAA